AUACGUAGGGGGCAAGCGUUGUCCGGAAUUACUGGGCGUAAAGCGCACGCAGGCUGACUUAUAAGUCGGUAGUCUAAUGCGGAGGCUCAACUUCCGUUUAUCUAUCGAUACUGUAAGACUAGAGUAUGUGAGAGGGAAGUGGAAUUCCCGGUGUAGAGGUGAAAUGCGUAGAUAUCGGGAGGAACACCAGUGGCGAAGGCGACUUCCUGGCACAAUACUGACGCUCAUGUGCGAAAGCUAGGGUAGCGAACGGGAUUAGAUACCCGGGUAGUCCUAGCCGUAAACGAUGGAUACUAGGUGUGGGUGUCGCAGGGCAUCCGUGCCGCAGCUAACGCGUUAAGUAUCCCGCCUGGGGACUACGGUCGCAAGACUGAAACUCAAAUGAAUUGGCGGGG
rnacentral:rRNA from 1 species